CAAUGGGUCAACCAGGAUCCUUUAUUCAUCCGACAUGGAACAGAUCUAGCCGUUGUCGUAUUACGUGCUUUCCUGCUCGAGAAUGAGUCGGGCGUCUGGCUAUAGAAGGUAGUAUUGAGAUUCGCUAAUAUUCAAAUAGUCUAUCAGUUUUUGACUGUUGGAAUAUAAACAACUGCAAGAAUACACCGUAAAUCUAUACGGAUGCCUUUCGACUGCUCGCCG
rnacentral:lncRNA from 1 species